UUCAUCAUUAGGUUACCAAACCUUCCAUUUUAGGGCGCAACAAGACAACUGUGGCUUUAGCAGCGAUGGUGUACCGUAGUAAGUUUGGUACAUCGGCCCGCAGGCACUCUUUCCUCGGCUUUUACCAAAAAAAUUUCCAUACAGUUAUUCGACCCUGGCACCAGUACCCGUGACAGUUAUUCAGGGUUUGCCGACCUCUGUGCCCAAUGCCUGGGUGUGCGAAACGAGGUCCGCGCAAAUGACAUCUGCACUUCGUGACGUCCUCAAGUUGCCGUAACAGCCGGGCCUCAACCACCAGUGCUAUGAACCAAUGACUUACCAUGUCAGCUGCUUGAUGGUUUGCAGCAACUGCUUUCACUGCUUCAGCCGUGUGUGCACAUUUGCCGUCCGAGAUCAAUGCACAAGUAAUCAGCUUGCGCCCUAACCUAACCCUCUUAACGGGAGGUUACUGCUGCUGCUGCUGCUGCUGUUACGUUAGCUGAUGAGCCCCCUUUCAUGACCCAUGCAUGAUGUUAACUCCCCCCUCUUUCGAAGUGAACCUGGCAUCCCGUGAGCUACGUCGUCGGCAGCCGGUAGGUGGCGCACUGCCGCGUUUUUCGCGUUGCACCUUCGUGGUGGUGGGGUGGUAGGGGUGGUCUUGGACUUCUUGCAAGAUAAACCGAUUUCCUCGGCGGCUAAAAGGGCAUCCUUAGCGCUGGUUUGGGAACGAAUCCUCGGGUACCUAUGGUAUCUUCCUCAGCUUCCUUCAGGGCCAACUUAAUCAAGUGUUGGCCGUAAGUGCAAGAGGUGCAUGGAAUCUGGGUCGUAAAAUGCUAUACACUGAGAGGGUUUGGUUUCCCAUCUUACACCCACUGCCAUUCUAGGGUUGUGGUCUCGGAUUUCGAGCUCGUCUUACUGCGUUCGGUCGAGAAGACACGCUCCCCAAGGCUGUGUAUCCAUACGAUCUGACCAAUUCGUUCCUUGCGCUUGAGGAAUGUGAUUGACAGAUGUGAUAACUAACUUGCCAUGGACCCGCCAACCAGCAACUCGUAUGUUUUUUUGUCGUUUUUCUGACUUUAACAAUUGUGUGCUAUCGGAGGCUAUGCGCACGCUUGGCUGUGUAAAGCCAACAGUGUUGUGCGGUUGGCGCUUGUGUAGGGCGUUGCAGAUGAGCCGUUCGGGCUUCAGUGUAAAUAGUAAUACUAUUACAAGAUUUUCUUACGUAACGAAACGUGCGUAAAAACAUUCGCGUUUGAGGCCUUGUUGGCCUAUCUAUAACUUGUUGGCCUAUCUCGGGCCGUAUUUUUGUUUUGGGCGAGACAAUACUAUGUUUACGGUGAAGAGACGAUUUCGUUGAACGGAUGAGCGCCUAGUCGGAACUGACCAGAACGGCCACAACUCAUGACUGAAAUGGGCAGCUGGUGUGCAACCACCUUCCGUUAUGAUGACAAAACGGUGUAAUUCUUACGAAGUUUAACUGUUCAUUUCACAUCAGCAGGGUUUACCAAUGUAGACAGAAUGGCAAAAUCUUCGAGUUCGAAAUUUACAUGUGUCUUGCAACACCUUUAAGCUCAUACAACAAGCGCUUCCGAAUUGUGUUAUUCCAGCUGUUGUAUUGCCGGAGCCUGUGGAGGCUUCUUGUAGUCCGGAAAAUUUUAAAAACUAAAAACUCAAACAAAACGCUACGACCUGAUAGAGCGAAACAAUUACGGCGACGAGCUUUGGGCUUUACCGUGAUGACGAAGCGGCAAGAGAACUAUCAAAAAUGUAACCCGGAAUUGGGUCAGGUGAUAAUUUUAUUUAUCAUAAAAUAACAUCAGUUUGAAGUAUUGGGAUAGCAUUCUAUAUAAGGACGGCGUUCGUUCCGAGGAACGUUACCGCAACUGCGUCAUCCGGCUUUCCCAGCGCCUGUACGAAUCAUGACUUUCGCAAUCGAGACUUCAUUCCGGAAGCUCGUAGGCG
rnacentral:lncRNA from 1 species